UUUCUAUCUAUAUGUCUUGACCAAAUCUUGUGCCAGCAGUCGCGGCAAUACAAGUAAGACUAGUGUUAUUCAUCUUAAUUAGGUUUAAAGGGUACCUAGACAGUAUUUCUAGCCUCCAAAGGGAACAGAUUUACUAGAGUUUUAUGUGAGAGGAAAAUAUUAGAACCAUUGGAGUAGUGAUAAAAUGUUUUGAUACUAAUGGGACGGAUAACGGCGAAGGCAAACCUCUAUGUAAUAACUGACGUUGAGGGACGAAGGCUUGGGUAGCGAAUAGGAUUAGAUACCCUAGUAGUCCAAGCAGAGAAUUAUGAAUGUUAUAGAUUAAAAUAUUUGGUGUAUAAAUGAAAGUGUAAGCAUUCCACCUCAAGAGUAAUGCGGCAACGCAGGAACUGAAAUCAUUAGACCGUUUCUGAAACCAGUAGUGAAGUAUGUUAUUUAAUUCGAUGAUCCUCGAAAAACCUUACCACAAUUUGAAUGAUAUUUAUUUUUUGAUUUAUAUAAUUUUAAGAUAAAUAUUACAAGUGUUGCACGGCUGUUUUAAGUUAAUGUCGUGAGACUUUGGUUAGAUCCAUUAAAUUAACGUAAACCCUUGCUUUAUUUUACAUAUAUAGAGCAGUUCACCAAUUUAUUGGAUAUGAUAAUAGGGAUUAAGACAAGUCAUCAUGACCUUAAUAUUGUGGGCUAUAGACGUGCCACAUAUGUUUGUACAAAAGGAGGCAAAAGUGCGAACUUUAGCUAAUCCUUAAAACAGAAUAUAAAAUGGAUUGUAGUCUGUAACUCGACUGCAUAAAUAAGGAAUUACUAGUAAUCGUGAAUCACCACAUCACGGUGAAUUUAAUCUCAGAUAGGUACUAACCACUCGUCAGGCGCUGAAAGGAGUAUGCGCAAUAAGUUUGGCCAUUUAGUAAUUCUUCCUAUUAAUAAUUAGUUAAUAUUUAGAGCUUUAAUAAAGUUCUAUAAGAUACUUUAUUGGAUGGUUUUCGUAUGCGUGACUUUGAUUGGUGUUAAGUCGAAAUACGGUUCGUGUAGUGGAAAUUGCACGGGUUUAAUAAAAAUU
rnacentral:ncRNA from 1 species